GGAAGUUCGACGGGGGCCCGCACAAGCGGUGGAGCAUGUGGUUUAAUUCGACGCAACGCGAAGAACCUUACCAGGGCUUGACAUCCCCUGACCGCGUAUGAAAGUACGUUUUCACCUCGGGUGACAGGGAGACAGGUGGUGCAUGGUUGUCGUCAGCUCGUGUCGUGAGAUGUUGGGUUAAGUCCCGCAACGAGCGCAACCCCUACGUUUAGUUGCUAACGCGUGAAGGCGAGCACUCUAGACGAACUGCCGUUGACAAAACGGAGGAAGUGGGGAUGACGUCAAAUCAUCAUGCCCCUUAUGUUCUGGGCUACACACGUGCUACAAUGGCCGGUACAGACGGACGCAAAGCCGCGAGGUGGAGCAAAUCCUAAAAAGCCGGUCUCAGUUCGGAUUGCAGGCUGCAAUUCGCCCGCAUGAAGUCGGAAUCGCUAGUAAUCGCAGGUCAGCAUACUGCGGUGAAUACGUUCCCGGGCCUU
rnacentral:rRNA from 1 species